ACCGGCGCACGGGUGAGUAACGCGUAUGCAACCUGCCCGUUUCAGCGGGAUAACCCGGAGAAAUCCGGCCUAAUACCGCAUGUGGCCGAGGGAAGGCAUCUUCUUUCGGCCAAAGGAGGCGACUCCGGAGACGGAUGGGCAUGCGUGACAUUAGCUUGUUGGCGGGGUAACGGCCCACCAAGGCGACGAUGUCUAGGGGUUCUGAGAGGAAGGUCCCCCACACUGGUACUGAGACACGGACCAGACUCCUACGGGAGGCAGCAGUGAGGAAUAUUGGUCAAUGGGCGAGAGCCUGAACCAGCCAAGUCGCGUGAAGGAUGACGGCCCUACGGGUUGUAAACUUCUUUUGUCAGGGAGCAAUUGGGUCCACGUGUGGGCUUAGCGAGAGUACCUGAAGAAAAAGCAUCGGCUAACUCCGUGCCAGCAGCCGCGGUAAUACGGAGGAUGCGAGCGUUAUCCGGAUUUAUUGGGUUUAAAGGGUGCGCAGGCGGUCUGUUAAGUCAGCGGUCAAAGCCCGGGGCUCAACCCCGGCCCGCCGUUGAAACUGGCAGUCUCGAGUUGGAGAGAAGUAUGCGGAAUGCGCGGUGUAGCGGUGAAAUGCAUAGAUAUCGCGCAGAACUCCGAUUGCGAAGGCAGCAUGCCGGCUCCACACUGACGCUGAGGCACGAAAGCGUGGGUAUCGAACAGGAUUANAUACCCUGGUA
rnacentral:rRNA from 1 species